rnacentral:lncRNA from 1 species
AACCAUCUUUGGUUUGAAAGGUUUUGGUCUUGAUUCGAACAGUUUUAACGGGGUCUUAUGUAGUUCAAUUAGUUUGAAUGUUCGAACUAACUGUACUUCUAAAUAGUUUCAUUAAUAAGGCUCUUCCCAAAGAACCAAACUAUUCCUAAAUUGAUCGUGUUUAAUAGUCAGAUGAAUAUUUAGCUGAACAAUCAGUGUUUGUGUGGCAGCAUUUGAUUUAAACGUUUUUCUAUAUGGUUCGAAUGCUUUUUAUAUUGUCUCCUGGAGUCCAUGAAGUUCGAACGACUUGCUUUUUGCUUUGAACAUUUUUAAUCAUGCCUUCUGUUCUUC